GGGUCAGUAGGUUGGUCGUGCCACCGGUACGUACUGGUCUCACUGAUUCCUCCUUCCUGAAGAACCGUAAUGCCAUUCAUUUGGUGUUGCGGGGAAACAGGACUGUUACUUUGAAAAAAUUAGAGUGUUUAAAGCAAGCUAACGCUUGAAUACAUUAGCAUGGAAUAAUGAAAUAGGACGAUCGAUCCUAAUUUGUUGGUUUCUAGGCUUGACGUA
rnacentral:rRNA from 1 species